rnacentral:rRNA from 1 species
UACGGAGGGUGCAAGCGUUAUCCGGAUUCACUGGGUUUAAAGCGUGCGUAGGCGGUUUGUUAAGUCCGCUGUGAAAGCCCCGGGCUUAACCUGGGAACUGCGUUUGAUACGGAUGGGCUAGAGUUCGGGAGAGGAGAGUGGAAUUCCCAGUGUAGAGUGAAAUUCGUAGAUAUUGGGAAGAACACCGGUGGCGAAGGACGGCUCUCUGGACCGAGCGUGACGCGUGACGGCGACGAAAGCGUGGGA